GAUCAUGGCUCAGGAUGAACGCUAGCUACAGGCUUAACACAUGCAAGUCGAGGGGCAGCAUGUUGGUUGCUUGCAACCGAUGAUGGCGACCGGCGCACGGGUGAGUAACGCGUAUCCAACCUACCCUUGUCCAUCGGAUAACCCGUCGAAAGGCGGCCUAACACGAUAUGCGGUUCACCGCAGGCAUCUAACGUGAACGAAAUGUGAAGGAGAAGGGAUGGGGAUGCGU
rnacentral:rRNA from 1 species